AGCUAGACCUCUUGUAUGAUAAUAUUUUUGCUGGUUACUACAUGAACUAAGUAGACAAACUUCGGAUAUUUUGAUUUUUAUAAGAAGGCUUAACUUGAGGAAGGAACUGGAAAGGUUGAGUAGCCUGAAUUCUAAUUCUGAAAUGUAAUCCCCCCUGGGCUAGUAAUUCAUCUUCUUGAUUUUCUUAUUUAUGUAGUAGAAAUUAUAGUACUUACCACACAUGGGCUAUUGGAAAAUUAAUUAUCUAAUAUAAUCUUUUGAAGAGAAAAGUGACAUUUAAGUACCUGAGUAAUAUUAGUAAAUAUUUUUCAUUUCUAAGAAAA
rnacentral:lncRNA from 10 species